rfam:Heterocephalus glaber contig104315, whole genome shotgun sequence.
AGGUGUGUAGUUCAGUGGUAGAGCACUUGCCUAGCAUGCAUAAGGACCUAGGUUCAAUCCCUAGCAAUGCUA